rnacentral:lncRNA from 1 species
AUCUACGCAUAGCGGACGUCAACUACAGAUGAUCAAAUGAAUGAUCCUGAACACCUACCUACGUCAGGCAUAACCCCACCGUGUCCUCGAUCGGAGAAGGAACUCACGAAAGAGACAGUCACGGUUACGCACACAGUUGGCAUAUUUUAAUUAAGUUAACUUCAAGUUAUCUAGAACCAGUGUUAAACAAAGUUUCCACGUUCCCACAUAACCGCGGGCACGACUUUCCGAAAGAUUUAACCCUGCAGGGGCGCUCCAACUAGUCCAUCACAAAUUACCACAAGUCGCAUAGAAAUCCUCAAUCACGAAGCUCGCGAUCUCGUCGGAUUCCCUAAUGGAAAACCUCAACUCUGAGAUUGCCCAAAGCAUCACCGGAAUCCCGAUGCACAAGAU